GAAACUAUUAUGGAAUUUAAGCUAUGUAUUAAAGAGAAUUAGUUAUGUAAAUAAGAUAAAAAUCUUAUAAAUAUAUAAACUCUAAGAGAAAUUCAAUACUAAACGAAGUGAAUUGAAAUAUCUUAGUAACUUCAGGAAAAGAAAUCAAAAGAGAUUCUAUGAAUAGCGUGAGCAAAAGUAGAGGAGCCUAAAAAGUAGAACGGUCUCAAAACUGUUUAAAUCUUGGGGAACCUUCCUCAAAGGCUAAAUAUAAUACAUAAGCGAUAGUGAAAAGUACCAUGAGGGAACAAAAAUAAAAAUAGUAGUUUUAUAAGCAGUUCGAUAAAAAGAACGUACCUUUUGCAUAAUGGGUCACCAAGUUAACAUUAGAUGCGAGCUGUAUUAGCAUGCGUAGUUAAACCGAAGGUUGAAAUAACGAAUAAGUGUCUAAAGUUAGACCCGAAGCCAGGUGAUUUUACCAUAGUCAGGAUUAUAAAAGUCCGAACGGGUGAUUGUAGCAAAAAUCUCCGAAGAACUGUGGUAGGUGUAGUGAAAGACAACACUGACUUGGAUAGCUGGUUUUCUGCGAAACCUAUAAUAGUAGGCAAUUUAAAUAAACAUCUUAGCAGGUACAGAAUUUAAUCUCAGACAAGGCGUUUUAUACGUUUUAUAUUGUACAAAUUGGGGGACCAUGAAGGUUUUAUCAGUGAGUAUGUAGACUCGGAAUGGUAAAGAUGUAUUUUGAAUGAUCAGACAUAGAAUGAUAAGGUUGUAUGUCGAAAGGGAGACAGCCCAGAACAAGAGUUAAGGUUCCUAAAUUAUUAGUUGAGUGAAAUUAAGAAGGUUUUUAUUAAAGUCGACAAGGAGAUAGGCUUAGAAGCAGCCAUAAUUUUAUGACCUGCUAGAUGAUGUAGGAAGUCAUCUAUGUGGGUGAAACUAUCAAACUCCGGGGACUCCCUAAAGAUUUUGAUACUAAACCAUAUAUGAAAAUAUAUGAGUGGCUGAAGUAAUUCCUCAGGUAUAGUAACAAGUCAAAAUAUGAAUGAAAAUGAAAUGGGAUAUCGCGGAUCUAAGUCAAAUAAUGG
rnacentral:ncRNA from 1 species